rnacentral:snoRNA from 1 species
GUGAGAGGUGGGAUAAUCUUUACCUCAUCCUCCUUUUGGAGGGCAGAUUAGAACAUGAUGAUUGCAGUUCACAUGAUGCGUGAUUAAAGUCUCUGUGUAAUCAGGAUUUGUAAUACCUUGAUUGCUCCUAUUUGGU